AUAUGCGAAUUCGGUAUUACUUUCUCUAUACUGUCUAUAUGAGGGCCUCCAAUAUCAAAUCCCACCAAUAAUUAUAACUAAUUUAGAAUCACUGGUAUUCGGGAGGAACUCAACAUAAUGUUUACGAUGAGGUCAAAAUAUGUAAGCUUAUUAAGUCGGUCUGAUUUCACUCGUAUUGCGCAGAUUCGUGGCAAAUCCCGUUUAAAAAUUGAGGUUAGGUGCUUUCAGGCGUGUGCAACAGAAGUUGGUGUGUAUGCACUUGGCGAAGAGUGACGAUUACAACAAGCAUGUAGUAAGCAUGCCAAAUACUUAAGUUUUGCAACAUUUUUAAGAUACUUCUUUGCUAGGGAUCAACUGUGUCCCCAGCAGCCAAAGUUGUACAUUGAACUACAGCUGCAAAAACCUGAGGACAAGAAUUGAUACAUGACUUUGAAAAGGCUAUGCUGUAUUCUGUAAUACACAAACUUCGUGAUUUAAUGAAGGCGUGGAAUAUCUGAUGAUUGGAGUUGCCCACUUUCAGUGGUACAACUCACCUCUUCUACUCAGUCACAUGAAUCGAAUUCAUCUCAAAACAAAACCUCGACGGUUCUACGCAUUGAAGAUGCAACUAACGUCUCUCGAGUUCGACGGACGAACCGAUCGGUUAUAAAACAAAAUCUCGAUAACGAGGCCCUACCAACGAUCUGACUCUGACUUGCCUACGUGAUUACAG